AACUGAGCUUUUAAAGAUUACAGAUGAGUAAGGGUUUCAAAAAAAAAAAAGUUGGGAAAAAUCAAAAACAAAGCUUUAUAGCCACUUCAGAAAGCCUGGAUGUUUAACCUGUAAGGAAGUCUGUCAAAUCCUUGUGGAAACCAUAUAGAGAAAAGAUCAAUAGGAUCCCUACUGGCUCCAUUAGCUUGAUGUAAAAGGGGAGAGGGGACUCCUCUUCCACAAGAGAAACUACAUUAUUCCAGGGAUUAUGCAGGAUCAGUUCACUUUGCAGAGAAGACGAAGAGAAAAAUGAAUGAAGAUUCUUGGUGGGCCAGAACUGCAGAGAAAGGGCUUGUCAGGCCCUGUUUUCUUUGGAUAAUCCCCAGGAAAUGAAGUAUGGGAUCGUAAGGGUUAUUGCUGAGACUUGGUGCCUGCACUACGAAUCCACUGCUCCUGGAUGACAUCAUGUCCCCCGCCCCUCUCAUUACUGUUGUGCAAAAUGAUAACACUCAUGGGAUUAAUGAGUUUAAGGGGAUUAAUUGUUUAUGGAUCUCUAAAAAUAUAUCAGAAAAUAAAGCUCUGAAAAGAUCUAAAUCAAUUAUAGCUUUAGGUCAGAUAGGUCAAGACCUUUUGACCUUGUAAGUAUUUAAAAUACAGGGAGGUUCGGAUACCACAAGAAGCGUUCAGAUCAUAGUGAAGUGAAGUAUAAUGACACAGAUACUUAGCCUAACAACUAACCUGGCUAUAAUAAUUAAUUAUUGAUAUUUUAACUUUCUCUAAGACUACAAGAAACCCCUUGCAUCCUCUUUAAGACCUGCAUUUCUCCUAGUCCUGUACUUGUCCCUCUAGGGUAUGCCCAUACUUCUUGAAAUUCCUUUCCUUGGUUCCUGACCACCAUACCAACCCUGUCAACUUUAACCAAAUUGCUCCUGGUGCUGCCACCCUGCAUUAUGCUGCUACUGAAAUCCUGCUGUGGACUGUACCCUGAGAUACCAGCCUGAGAAGUCAACCUCAUGAUUCUUCAUAUCUGCCGCUCCACUCUGACACCAUUCUCUCAGAAAACAUUCUCAUCCAACCUCAGGUCAUGGCACCUCCCAGACACCAGGCUGCAGAUGCUACCGUGACUCCACCCCAACUUCUCUGGGCAGAUGAUCUCAUCAAUGUGUCCUGGACUCUCGCAUCUCCAGUGCUCUGGCCCACUAGGGGAAAAUAGAAACAGGAUCG